AUGCACGGGUGGAUCGACGAUUGGAUCGAACCCCUGCCGCUGCUGCUGAUGCUGAUGAUUAACUCGAUUCUUAUGCUCUGUUCUUGUGUUCUUGGCAAGGGGAAUUUUCUCCUCUUCUUCUUCUUUUUGGUUGAUUCGGUUCAGUGGGUGACAUCUGAACUGGAAAGAAAACAUCUAAGCUUCCUUUUGGAUGCAACUGAGCCUGUGUGUGUCUCUGUCUGUGAUCCCAUGCCAACUGCCAUGCUCGGCGUCGCGUCUGGAGUCUCAAGUGCCAUGCCGCUCUGUCUUGUUCGUGUUCGAGCGCAGAGAAGAAGAAGACAGACACGGAGCACAAGCCAACAAGGGACGGCUCCGUUUUCUGGUUAA
rnacentral:rRNA from 1 species